AGGACGAACGCUGGCGGCGUGCUUAACACAUGCAAGUGGAGCGACGAACCGGGGCUUGCCCCGGGGCAGAGCCGCGAACGGGUGAGUAACACGUGGGUAACCCACCCCGAUGACCGGGACAACCCGAGGAAACUCGGGCUAAUACCGGAUGUGCUCCUUGACCUUGAGGUCAAGGCGUAAAGAUAGCUUCGGCCUUCGCAUCGGGACGGGCCCGCGGCCCAUUAGCUUGUUGGUGGGGUAAAGGCCUACCAAGGCAACGAUGGGUAGCUGGUCUGAGAGGACGAUCAGCCACGCUGGGACUGAGACACGGCCCAGACUCCUACGGGAGGCAGCAGUGGGGAAUCUUGCGCAAUGCGCGAAAGCGUGACGCAGCAACGCCGCGUGGGGGAAGAAGGGCCUUCGGGUUGUAAACCCCUUUCAGUUGGGACGAAGCUUCGCCGGUGAAUAGCCGGCUGGAGUGACGGUACCUUCACAAGAAGCCCGGCUAACUACGUGCCAGCAGCCGC
rnacentral:rRNA from 1 species